GUGGACAAUGCCAAAUCCUUAACUGCUAGGUCACCAAAGAACCCCAGAUUUUACCAUUUUAACCUUUAAGUGGAUGUGUAAUUCAUCAAUAAUUCCAAAUAUUGUGCAAAUUUUCACCACUAUCCAUUUUCAGAAAUAUUUCAUCAUCCCUGAUAAAAGGCAGAUAACAGGUCCCCAGUGCAGUCACUCGUGCUAACAGCCUGGUCAGAAAAACAAAAUUUAAUAAAUAACCUAACUGCAGUUUUAACCUUCUGGAAUUUAACCUUUAGCCAUUCAACCUAGAAUCACCUCCUCAGUACAGUGAGAUAAUCCUCCCAAUAAGCCCUUCCAUUUCCCUUAGGAAGGUGGCCUUGACUGAAACAACACAUUCUUCAUUUGUCUUUAGAAAACCUUCCUUUUCCACAGCUCAGUGGAGCUCCUUUCUGUUAUCCAAUUUAUGAAGCAUUGCCUAAAAGCCAAUUUGAUCUUUAAAUUUACUCAGUUGAAUUUCUGUUAUUUAACAGAUUUGGUGACAGAGGUGGAACCAAAGACUAAGGACAAAAGGAGUCAUACAUGAAUGUGCCGGAAACUACAUCCACAACGGCCACCCAGCUCUGUUUUGGAUGCUUGGCCACAGUUAUUUUUCUCAGGACUGCUGAGACCUUCGCCACCCAUCCGUGUGUGUCCCUCUUCCCAAGCCCUGCUGCUGUCGUAUCCUCAUCCCUUCUUUCCACCUCAUAGGAGGUAGACAUCCAACAGUCCCUUUUAGAGAAAACUAGAGCAAACCUGUGAGGUUGGAUUUGGACUAGAAAGAAAUACAGCAAGUACGUGCCAACAAUCACGGUCCUUUGUAUUCAUCCAAAGGAGUCGAAGAUGUAUAUUUAUGCGAAACCCACACACGGGUGUUUCUUGUCGGAGACCACUGCACAGCUGAACCAUGCGGAAGGCAAGCACCUGCUGACUCUGAGUUCUAAAGUGCAGGGUCUGCUGCAAAGACGUGAUGCAUAAACUGCUAGCCUGUGAGCAGCUGCACUAUGUGCAGCUAGAGGUGUGCACCAGUGCUAAGAGUGUGGUCGUGAUUCACAAAGAGGUGGCUUCGUCAUCGCCUGUGCUGGCUCCUGCCCACGAUUCUACAUUUGGCACCUUCCUUAGUAAAAGUCGUGUGGACUAAAGCCUCGGCGCCUUUGUUCUGCAGCACAGAGUGCCUCCCGGUCCCCCACUUUCUAAACCUAAGUCUUGUGUGUUCUGUUACACUGCGCAGUCCCUCCUCCAGGAUUCCCCGUUGCCCUGCAGCGCUGGACAGGCAGUUUCUAUCUAUUGGCUUUAAAUGCAAAAAGGCUGAAACGUGGAGGCAGCCAAGAUAUCCUUCAGCAGGUGAAUGGAUAGAACAACUGUGGUCCAUCCAGGCAACGGGCUGUUAUUCUGUGCUAAAAGGACAUGAGCUAUCCAGCCAUCAGAAGUCAUUGGAGGAACCUUAAAUGCAUAUCGCUAAGUGAAAGGCUAAGAACUGCAUGAUUCCAACUAUACCAUCUUCUGGAAAAGGCAAAACGGGGGAGGCAGUAAAAAGAUCUGUUGUGGUCAGGGGUUGGGGGAAGGGAGGGAACAGGCAGAGCACUGAGGAUUUUUAGGGCAGGGAAACUAGUCUGAAAAGACACUUCACUGGCAGAUACGUAUCAUAUAUAUCUUGGUCCAAACCUAUAGAAUGUAUAAUAAGCGUGAAUGUUCAUCUAAUCUCCAGGCUUUGGGUAAUAAUAACAUGGAUGCAGGUUAGACUGUAACAAAUGUGCCCCUCCGUGGGGGGGAGGGAUGUUGCUAAUGGGUGGAGGCUGUAAGGAGCAGAGAUGGGGGCACAGGGGAAUUCUCUUUAUGUCUUGCUCACUUUUGCUGUAAACCUAAAACUGCUCUAAAAAGAGUUGAUUUUAAAAUCUGUGUUCACUCUAGCCUGGGAACCUCCAUAUGCCGUGGGUGUGGCCCUAAAAAGACAAAAUAAAUAAAUGAAUAAAUAAAAUGUAUGUUCGGUAUGUAGGUUAGACCGUU